rnacentral:rRNA from 1 species
CAUGCGCGAAAGCGUGAUAAGGAGACUCCGAGUGCUAGCGGGAAACCGUUAGCUUUUUUUGAGUAUAGAUAGCUCGAAGAAUAAGGACUGGGCAAGACCCGUGCCAGCCGCCGCGGUAAUACGGGCAGUUCAAGUGGUAUCCGUGCAUAUUGGGCUUAAAGCGUCCGUAGCUCGUUUGGAAAGUCUUUGGUGAAAGCUCGCAGCUCAACUGCGAGAAGGGCCAGGGAAACUUCCAGACUCGGAGGCGGGAGAGGUCAGGGGUACUUAUAGGGUAGCGGUAAAAUGUGUUAAUCCCGUAAGGACCACCGGUAGCGAAGGCGCCUGACUAGAACGCGCUCGACAGUGAGGGACGAAGGCCAGGGGAGCAACCCGGAUUAGAUACCCGGUUAGUCCUGGCAGUAAAUGAUGCAGACUAGGUGUCAUUCAACCCACGUGGUUGUGUGGUGCCGAAGGGAAACCGUUAAGUCUGCCGCCUGGGGAGUAUGGUCGCAAGACUGAAACUUAAAGGAAUUGCGGGGGGGAAAAAAC